UUAUCUACUUCUCUUCUGUAU
rnacentral:sRNA from 1 species